CGAAGCAGCCUACAGCUAGAGGAGAACACUCACGGCACGUUCCUGAGAUAUCUGCCACCACCGACCUUUGCUCUGGACCCUCUCUUUCUGAAUAUUGCCAUCUGCUGUCUGUACCACACGCUUGCCUUCUCCCAUUAACCCUAGCUCACCCUGGGGGGCAAGGGUCCUCUGCCCACCCAGCUUACUAUAUAGUUGGGGAGGUCUCUGGGGCAAAAUAAUCUGCUGUAACUACCAACCGUUUAUCAUAAU